rnacentral:rRNA from 1 species
AGAGUUUGAUCCUGGCUCAGGAUGAACGCUGGCGGCGCGCCUAACACAUGCAAGUCGAACGAUUAAAGCUUCUUCGGAAGUGUAUAAAGUGGCGAACGGCUGAGUAACACGUGGGUAACCUGCCUCUCUCAUUGGGAUAGCCUCGGGAAACCGUGGGUAAUACCGAAUACUCAAUCUCAAGCGCAUGCUAGAGAUUGGAAAGCUUUUGCGGAGAGAGAUGGGCCCGCGGCCUGUUAGCUUGUUGGUGUCACCAAGGCUGUAAUGGGUAGCCGGGUUGAGAGACCGACCGGCCAGAUUGGGACUGAGACACGGCCCAGACUCCUACGGGAGGCAGCAGUGGGGAAUCUUGCACAAUGGGCGAAAGCCUGAUGCAGCGACGCCGCGUGCGGGAUGAAGGCCUUCGGGUCGUAAACCGCUUUCAGCAGGGAAGAGGCCGUAAGGUGACGGUACCUGCAGAAGAAGCCCCGGCUAAAUACGUGCCAGCAGCCGCGGUAAUACGUAUGGGGCAAGCGUUAUCCGGAUUUAUUGGGCGUAAAGCGCGCGUAGGCGGCCUGUUAAGUCAGAAGUUAAAUGCGGGAGCUCAACUUCCGUCUGCUUUUGAUACUGGCAGGCUUGAGUUCGGUAGGGGAAGGUGGAAUUCCCAGUGUAGCGGUGGAAUGCGCAGAUAUUGGGAAGAACACCGAUGGCGAAGGCAGCCUUCUGGGCCGCAACUGACGCUGAGGCGCGAAAGCUAGGGGAGCAAACAGGAUUAGAUACCCUGGUAGUCCUAGCUGUAAACGAUGGACACUAGGUGUGGGGGAAAUUGAUCUUCCGUGCCGUAGCUAACGCAUUAAGUGUCCCGCCUGGGGAGUACGGUCGCAAGACUAAAACUCAAAGGAAUUGACGGGGGCCCGCACAAGCAGCGGAGCAUGUGGUUUAAUUCGAAGCAACGCGAAGAACCUUACCAGGGCUUGACAUAUAGGUGAGCCGGUGGAAACACCGGGGCCGAAAGGAGCCUAUACAGGUGGUGCAUGGCUGUCGUCAGCUCGUGUCGUGAGAUGUUGGGUUAAGUCCCGCAACGAGCGCAACCCCAUCAGGUAAUGCUGGGAACCCAUGCGAGACCGCCGGCGUUAAGCCGGAGGAAGGUGGGGACGACGUCAAGUCAUCAUGCCCCUUAUGUCCUGGGCUACACACGUGCUACAAUGGUCGGCACAACGGGCUGCGAACUCGCGAGAGUAAGCGAAUCCCUUAAAGCCGGCCCCAGUUCGGAUUGGAGGCUGCAACUCGCCUCCAUGAAGUCGGAGUUGCUAGUAAUCGCGGAUCAGCACGCCGCGGUGAAUGCGUUCCCGGGCCUUGUACACACCGCCCGUCACACCACCCGAGUCGUCUGCACCCGAAGUCGCCAGCCUAACCAUUUUGGAGGGAGGCGCCGAAGGUGUGGAGGGUAAGGGGGGUGAAGUCGUAACAAGGUAGCCGUACCGGAAGGUGCGGCUG